AUAAGCAAUUAGAAUGAACAAGCACAAUAAAUAGCCAGAAUGAAUGAAUAGAAUAAAUAACAGAACAAAAUCAAUAAAUUACCAAAAGAAUGAUACAAAAAAAAAAAAAAAAAUGAGCCGAAUGAAGAUUUGAGCCGAACGUGUUAGCCUAGCCGCUGGGCGUGGUCACGUGAUCAGUGUCUGAAUGACUUUAGUGGAGAGAGGAAGUAUACGCCUUGCUGUCUGCCGCCCUUUACAUAUAACGUGCUGGUCAGCUGGUUAAUGUGGAACUCUGUCACGCCAGGUGAAGAAGACAACGAUGGGCAGGCAGAGAAUGAUGAUGAUGGAGAGCGCAAGGAUGGCGGCUCGCAUCACCCAGUUGAGGGACACCACACAGGGGCUGCC